rnacentral:rRNA from 1 species
UGGGGAAUAUUGGACAAUGGGGGCAACCCUGAUCCAGCAAUGCCGCGUGUGUGAUGAAGGCCUUAGGGUUGUAAAACACUUUCAACGGUGAAGAUGAUGACGGUAGCCGUAGAAGAAGCCCCGGCUAACUUCGUGCCAGCAGCCGCGGUAAUACGAAGGGGGCGAGCGUUGUUCGGAAUUACUGGGCGUAAAGGGCGCGCAGGCGGCCUAUCCAGUCAGGUGUGAAAGCCCCGAGCUCAACUUGGGAACUGCACUUGAUACUGAUAGGCUAGAAAACGGAAGAGGGCAGUGGAAUUCCCAGUGUAGAGGUGAAAUUCGUAGAUAUUGGGAAGAACACCAGUGGCGAAAGC